rnacentral:rRNA from 1 species
AUCUAUGGCCAUACCACCCUGAACGCACAGGAUCUUGCUGAUCUUGGAAGCUAAGCAGGGUCCGGCGUGGUUAGUACUUGGAUGGAAGACCACCUGGGAUUACUGGGUGCUGUAACCU